AUUGAACGCUGGCGGCAGGCCUAACACAUGCAAGUCGAGCGAGCGGCGGACGGGUGAGUAAUGUCUGGGGAUCUGCCCGAUAGAGGGGGAUAACUACUGGAAACGGUGGCUAAUACCGCAUACUAUCGGAUGAACCCAUAUGGGAUUAGCUAGUAGGUGGGGUAAAGGCUCACCUAGGCGACGAUCUCUAGCUGGUCUGAGAGGAUGACCAGCCACACUGGAACUGAGACACGGCCCAGACUCCUACGGGAGGCAGCAGUGGGGAAUAUUGCGCAAUGGGCGCAACCCUGAUGCAGCCAUGCCGCGUGAAUGAAGAAGGCCUUCGGGUUGUAAAGUUCUUUCGGUAGGGAGGCGUUAACUACAGAAGAAGCACCGGCUAACUCCGUGCCAGCAGCCGCGGUAAUUC
rnacentral:rRNA from 1 species